CUUCCCUUUGUGACUCAAACCUAUCACCGAGGGACCCACUCUCCAAUCCUUUCCUUUUACAUUCGUCACCCAGGUACACAGGCAGAGUCUGUGUCCCAUAGUCCUGCUCUCACAUAUCCUACAAGGGAUAGUUAGAAAUCCCCAAGACCUGAUGUUUGCACUGGGAGAAGUCCAGGUUUCAACCUCUUGCUAGAAGAAAUGAGCUGACACUCUGCAAGAACAUUUGUGGGGGAAUAAAGAAGUAUCUAUGGUGGGGAUGUCAAUAGAGGACAAAGCAAGAGCACAGUUGGGGAGUGACAGUCUUGGGCUCAGUCUCUGCCCUUCAUGAGAUUAGAAGUAAAGAGAGGAAUGCAUGACUACCCACCCCAGUUGGUUCAAGUCUCCAGGUUUGCCAAGGUUCACAGGUCACAGUGCAGACACCAGAGAAUCGGGACACAGCUGAUGGUCAACCAGUGUAAAAGAGGAGACGAGUCUCAGAAGGAGAGCUUUGAAAUGGUCAACGUGUGGCAAGGAGUGAUGCUCAGGGAGAAGCUGAUCUAAUCGUGAAGACGACUGGGCUAUGCCAGAGUCUGUGAAAAUCCCAUCAGUGGAGGACCAGCAUCUUCUCUCUGUCUUCCUCUACUUCCAAUCUGCCGUGAGGUGAGCAGCUUUGUCGUAUGGACACCAUGCACAGUGAGCUCAGCCUCAAGUCAGGCUCAAAGGCGUGGGGCCAAGUGAUCAUGAAUAGAAACUUCUGGAACCAUGCACUGGAAUAAAUCUUCCCUCCUCUAA